UGGGGAAUUUUGGACAAUGGGCGAAAGCCUGAUCCAGCAAUGCCGCGUGUGUGAAGAAGGCCUUCGGGUUGUAAAGCACUUUUGUCCGGAAAGAAAUCCUUGGCUCUAAUACAGUCGGGGGAUGACGGUACCGGAAGAAUAAGCACCGGCUAACUACGUGCCAGCAGCCGCGGUAAUACGUAGGGUGCAAGCGUUAAUCGGAAUUACUGGGCGUAAAGCGUGCGCAGGCGGUUUGCUAAGACCGAUGUGAAAUCCCCGGGCUCAACCUGGGAACUGCAUUGGUGACUGGCAGGCUAGAGUAUGGCAGAGGGGGGUAGAAUUCCACGUGUAGCAGUGAAAUGCGUAGAGAUGUGGAGGAAUACCGAUGGCGAAGGCAGCCCCCUGGGCCAAUACUGACGCUCAUGCACGAAAAGCGUGGGGGAGCAAAACAGGAUUAGAUACCCUGGUAGUCCACGCCCUAAACGAUGUCAACUAGUUGUUGGGGAUUCAUUUCCUUAGUAACGUAGCUAACGCGUGAAGUUGACCGCCUGGGGAGUACGGUCGCAAGAUUAAAACUCAAAUGAAUUGACGGGGUCAUAGCUGUUUCCU
rnacentral:rRNA from 1 species